rnacentral:misc_RNA from 1 species
GAAAUGCGAUAAGUAGUGUGAAUUGCAGAAUUCAGUGAAUCAUCGAAUCUUUGAACGCACAUUGCGCCCUUUGGUAUUCCUUAGGGCAUGCCUGUUCGAGCGUCAUUUAAACCUUCAAGCUCAGCUUGGUGUUGGGUGACUGUCCGCUUCACCGCGGACUCGCCUCAAAAUUAUUGGCGGCCGGUCUUGCGCGUAGCAGAUUGUUCGCACAAGGGCCGGCCCGCAGGGCUGCCGCAUACGUCAAUUGCAUCUCGUAGUUUGACCUCGGAUCAGGUAGGAAUACCCGCUGAACUUAAGC